CCAUACACAGUGGCCGAGCCUCAAAAAAAGGCUCCGUACAAUGGCGGUCAGCAAUGCGAGGAAAGAAGCGGAAGUCCAAUUCGGCAACUCCAGCUAGCAUUACUGAAGCGAGCUAGCCUGAAAGUUCAUUCGUGCCACUUCCCGAGGACUUCGUGGAAGAGUAAUUGCCGUGGCAGUCGCUGCAACACGGACUCCUCCCAGUUAGAUGCCUAGCGAAGGAGAGUAUAUGAAGUCCCCAGAUGAAAAGGAUGUGAUGCGCGAGCUUGCAUGGACACAGUCUGCUGCUUUAGCUGCUGCAGUGAUUAUUUACAACAUAAUGAGGAGCGCCUAAAGUUUCCAAAAGAUUUGCAGAGCCUCUCUGAUCCAGUUGGCUCAUCUUAAAAGAAUAUCUCUGUCUUUUUUUGUCAUUGAUCACUGUUCAGAGCUCUCAGAUCAGAAUAAAACACAUUUUUACGUUUGCUGUUGAUAAUUGCUACAUACAUUAUGUAAAAACCAUAUGGUAGAAA